UGGGGAAUUUUGGACAAUGGGCGCAAGCCUGAUCCAGCAAUGCCGCGUGCAGGAUGAAGGCCUUCGGGUUGUAAACUGCUUUUGUACGGAGCGAAAAGGUCUGCCCUAAUACGGUGGGCUCAUGACGGUACCGUAAGAAUAAGCACCGGCUAACUACGUGCCAGCAGCCGCGGUAAUACGUAGGGUGCGAGCGUUAAUCGGAAUUACUGGGCGUGAAGCGUGCGCAGGCGGUUAUAUAAGACAGAUGUGAAAUCCCCGGGCUCAACCUGGGACCUGCAUUCGUGACUGUAUAGCUGGAGGACGGUAGAGGGGGAUGGCAUUCCGCGUGUAGCAGUGAAAUGCGUGAAUAUGCGGAGGAACAACGAUGGCGAAGGCAAGCCCCUGGACCUGUACUGACGCUAAUAGACGGAGGCGUGGGGAACAAACA
rnacentral:rRNA from 1 species